rnacentral:misc_RNA from 1 species
AAGGCAUGUUGGAUCCCUGCUCGAGCAGCGACGGCAUCUCUUGCGCUCCUCUUCAGUGAUUGGCUACGGUGCAAUGCGCUAGGCCGAUGUCGGUUUUCCUGUGUUGGAUUCCCAAAAGAUGGCACUUGUCGGUUAAAUAAAUUGUUUCCGCCCUGCUUUGCAUCUCCGAUUGGAGUKUWGUGCGGGGUGGUCCACAAAGCACACGAUGUGUUUCUCUAUCCCAGCUCUUGCAAUUGCGAGUGCUCGGGGAAGCGAUGCAUGACGAUGUGCUCGAUCUCUUGGAUGCGGAACACCGRGCGGCGAUGAGGCCACGGCCUCUAAAGCCCUCUCAAUCAGCGUUCUACGCUUUUUGCGGGCGACGGUCAUCCGGGUCUCGAUCGGGUUCUCGUGG